rnacentral:rRNA from 1 species
UGCCCACUGAAAUAUUUUAAAUGGCCGCAGUAAAUUGACUGUGCAAAGGUAGCAUAAUCAUUAGUUUUUUAAUUAAAAGCUUGAAUGAAUGGUUUGACGAAAUAAAAUCUGUCUCUAGAUAAUAAAAAGAAUUUAAUUUUUAAGUUAAAAAGCUUAAAUUAAAAUAAAAGACGAGAAGACCCUAUAGAUCUUUAUAUUAAAUUUAAUAAUUUUAUUUAGGAUUUUUUUUAUAGUUAUUAUUUUUAUUAUUAUAUUGGGGUAAUAGGAAGAUUAAUAAAAUUCUUUUAAAAUUGUUACAAUAAUAAUUGUUUAUUUGAUCCUUAAUUUAAGAUAAUAAGAUUAAGUUACCUUAGGGAUAACAGCGUAAUUUUUUUAAAGAGUUCAUAUCGAUAAAAAAGUUUGCGACCUCGAUGUUGGAUUAAAAAUUAUUUCAGGUGUAGAAGUUUGAAAAUUUUGGUCUGUUCGACCAUUAAAUUUUU